rnacentral:tRNA from 1 species
GCGGCAAUAGCUCAGUGGUAGAGCCCCCGCUUCGCGUGCGGGGAGACCCGGGUUCGAUUCAGGGUUGCCCCC